rnacentral:rRNA from 1 species
AUUGAACGCUGGCGGCAGGCCUAACACAUGCCAGUCGAGCUGAGAUGCGGCCGGGUGCGUACUGCCUAGGAAUCUGCCUGGUAGUGGGGAAUAACGUCCGGAAACGGGCGCUAAUACCGCAUACUAUCAGAUGAGCCUAGGUCGGAUUCGCUAGUUGGUGGGGUAAAGGCCUACUCAGGCGAAGAUCCGUAACUGGUCUGAGAGGAUGAUCAGUCACACUGGAACUGAGACACGGGCCAGAGUCCUACGGGAGGCAGCAGUGGGGAAUAUUGGACAAUGGGCGAAAGCCUGAUCCAGUCAGGCCGCGUGUGUGAAGAAGGUUUUCGGAUUGUAAAGCACUUUAAUUUGGGAGGCGUUACCAACAGAAUAAGCAACGGCUAACUUCGUGCCAGCAGCCGCGGUAAUAC